UACGUAGGGUCCGAGCGUUGUCCGGAAUCAUUGGGCGUAAAGCGCGUGUAGGCGGUCCGGUAAGUCCGCUGUGAAAGCCAGGGGCUCAACCCUUGGAUGCCGGUGGAUACUGUCGGGCUUGAGUACGGAAGAGGCGAGUGGAAUUCCUGGUGUAGCGGUGAAAUGCGUAGAUAUCGAGAGGAACACCUGCGGCGAAGGCGGGUUGCUGGGCUGAUACUGACGCUGAGGCGCGAAAGCCAGGGGAGCGAACGGG
rnacentral:rRNA from 1 species